rnacentral:rRNA from 1 species
UGCGUAGGCGGAAUAUUAAGUCAGUGGUGAAAUCCUGCGGCUCAACCGUAGAACUGCCAUUGAUACUGAUAUUCUUGAAUGUAGUUGAGGUAGGCGGAAUGUGUAAUGUAGCGGUGAAAUGCUUAGAUAUUACACAGAACACCGAUUGCGAAGGCAGCUUACUAAACUACGAUUGACGCUGAGGCACGAAAGCGUGGGGAGCGAACAGGAUUAGAUACCCUGGUAGUC